AUUGAACGCUGGCGGCAGGCCUAACACAUGCAAGUCGAGCGAGCGGCGGACGGGUGAGUAAUGUCUGGGAAACUGCCUGAUGUAGGGGGAUCACUACUGGAAACGGUAGCUACUCCCGCCUACCCUCAGAUUUGCCCAGAUGGGAUUAGCUAGUAGGUGGGGUAAUGGCUCACCUAGGCGACGAUCCCUAGCUGGUCUGAGAGGAUGACCAGCCACACUGGAACUGAGACACGGUCAAGACGCCUACGGGAGGCAGCAGGGGGGAAUAUUGCACAAUGGGCGCAAGCCUGAUGCAGCCAGGCAGCGUGUGUGAAGAAGGCCUUCGGGGUGUAAAGCACUUGCAGCGGGGAGGCGUUACCCGCAGAAGAAGCACAGGCUAACUCCGUGCCAGCAGCCGCGGUAAUUC
rnacentral:rRNA from 1 species